rnacentral:lncRNA from 1 species
UGCUUGUAGCUCUCAGAAUAAUUGUAGAAUAUGCUGCGAAUGAAGCAUCCUGAGACAAAAAGGAACUGUCCACAGCAGGCUGUACUCUGUUCUGCUUCCUUCUGGAACAGGAUGUCCUGCCAAACUUCAGUCCAGCAAUGCCAAUUAUCCCCAGGGCAUAUAACUCAGAGGGGAGUGCUUUCUGGGGUCCUUCAGCAGCAGUGCAAUGAGGAGCAUGCACAGGAGAGAUUCUAUUUUCCUUGGAUGGCUUUCUUGAGCCUUGGAAAUCUGGCUCACCAGGAAUUCUAGGCUUCUGUUGUCCCUUGCUUCCUAUCUAAUCCUAAGUUGAUGUCAUGGGGCAGU